rnacentral:tRNA from 1 species
ACCUGGCUGGCUCAUUUGUUAGAGCAUGUGACUCUUGAUCUCAGGAUCACGAGUUCAAGCCCCAUGUUGGGUG